rnacentral:rRNA from 1 species
GACGAACGCUGGCGGCGUGCUUAACACAUGCAAGUCGAACGGAAAGGCCCUGCUUGCAGGGUACUCGAGUGGCGAACGGGUGAGUAACACGUGGGUGAUCUGCCCUGCACUUCGGGAUAAGCCUGGGAAACUGGGUCUAAUACCGGAUAGGAGCCAUUUUUAGUGUGAUGGUUGGAAAGUUUUUUCGGUGUAGGAUGAGCUCGCGGCCUAUCAGCUUGUUGGUGGGGUAAUGGCCUACCAAGGCGGCGACGGGUAGCCGGCCUGAGAGGGUGGACGGCCACAUUGGGACUGAGAUACGGCCCAGACUCCUACGGGAGGCAGCAGUGGGGAAUAAUGCACAAUGGGCGCAAGCCUGAUGCAGCGACGCCGCGUGGGGGAUGACGGGCUUCGGGUUGUAAACUCCUUUCGCUAGGGACGAAGCUUUUUGUGACGGUACCUAGAUAAGAAGCACCGGCUAACUACGUG